rnacentral:rRNA from 1 species
GACGAACGCUGGCGGCGUGCCUAAUACAUGCAAGUUGAGCGAUGAAGAUUGGUGCUUGCACCAAUUUGAAGAGCAGCGAACGGGUGAGUAACGCGUGGGGAAUCUGCCUUUGAGCGGGGGACAACAUUUGGAAACGAAUGCUAAUACCGCAUAACAACUUUAAACAUAAGUUUUAAGUUUGAAAGAUGCAAUUGCAUCACUCAAAGAUGAUCCCGCGUUGUAUUAGCUAGUUGGUGAGGUAAAGGCUCACCAAGGCGAUGAUACAUAGCCGACCUGAGAGGGUGAUCGGCCACAUUGGGACUGAGACACGGCCCAAACUCCUACGGGAGGCAGCAGUAGGGGAUCUUCGGCAAUGGACGAAAGUCUGACCGAGCAACGCCGCGUGAGUGAAGAAGGUUUUCGGAUCGUAAAACUCUGUUGGUAGAGAAGAACGUUGGUGAGAGUGGAAAGCUCAUCAAGUGACGGUAACUACCCAGAAAGGGACGGCUAACUACGUG